GAGGUGGCUGGGCCCGGAAGCAGAGACUGGGGCAGAAGUGGGGAGGAAAGGUUACCGUCAGCCCCAAAGAGCGCACAGAUGCUCUGUGUAGGGUCGGCUAGUUGGCUUUAUUACAGAAGUCACCUUACGUGGCACAGUGGGGAAAUGCUUGACUAACAAGCAGAAGGUUGCUGUUUCGAAUCCCUGCUGGUACAAUAUCGGGCAGCAGCGAUAUAGGAAGAUGCUGAAAGGCAUCAUCUCAUACUGCGUGGGAGGAGGCAACUGUAGACCCCUCCUGUAUUCUACCGAAAGAAAACCACAGGAGUCGAAAUUGACUUGACGGCACAUUUUACCUUUUUAAAAAAUAGAAUCAUAUAAAUAUGAGCCCUUCAGCAUCAAAACAUGGUUCAAACCAAGGAACCUUUCAAUCACUAAAUAUAUCAGUAACACCACUUAAAAUAUUGGGACUAUCUUGAAUUGACUAGUUGGAAGAUUGUCCCCUACAGUUAGAGAUAAAUUACUUUGGUAGCUAAACUAGACAAACAGGGGGGAAAAACCCCACCCUCCAAAAGUCUUAAGAGUUGCUGUAUUUAGAGGCUCUGGUGUGAAAGAGGCCCCAAAUUUCUCUUCUGUAUGCCAAUCAUUCCUUUCUGUAGCUCUUCUACCAUGCCUUCAUUUAAUUAUUACCUCUCUAAAUUAAAAAGCCCCAGCCUUUAAAACCUGUCUUUAUAUGGGUACAAUUUCCAUGUCUAUAAUCCUUCCCCUGGUGUAUCUCUGAACCCCUUCUAUUUCCAUGAUAGUAUGAUCAUAAUUAAGCUCAGCCUUCCAUGUAUAACAAUGAUUAAUAUAAUAAGCUAUAAUGUUGUCAGUCUUCUCCCAUGAGUGGUUCCUGUUAAUUUAAAUCUCCAGCUUUAGAAAGUACAGCACUGUACAGAUGGGUCUAGAAUUUUUCCCCCCAAACCGCAAACAUCCUUUCUUAGCACUGCUGAAAUCAAGAACUUCCCUGUUUACUUUGAUUAAUGUUGGAAUGCAACCAAAGUGAAAAACAGCACUUGAUGCACUAAUUGAGUGGAAAAGAACGACAAUGGUUCUUCCACAAAUGAGAAGCUCACUUCAUUGCAACCAUCAUUGCGCUAGAUUUUCAGUGAAUGGAAAUGCUUUGACAUUCAACACAUUCUUUCCUAGGGAUGAAACUCUGGAGAUAUCUAUCACUGGUUGGCCAUUUUCUUCCACCAGCCUCCAACUACAAAAUAUGGAAGCAAGGGCCAAAGAACCACAGGGCUUCAAAACGUUGAAUGGCUUAACCUUGCUGCAUUCCCACCUGCUAUUACUGAGGCCCACAUUAGGACCACGUAGGCAGAUGCAGAAGGAGACCCUGAAGAUCUACGGUGCUUACCUCUGAGUCUGAGUUGCCGCACAUUGAGUCGACACUUUCAACAAGCUGUCCACCACAAUCCCAAGAUCUCUCUUCUGGUCAGUCACUGAAAGCUCAGACCUCAUCAAUGUAUAUGUGAAGGUCCCCCUCCCCCCACCACCAUUAUGCAUCACUUGACAUUGAACUGCAUUUGCCAUUUUGUUACCUAGUCACCCAGUUUGGAGAGAUCCUUUUGGAGUUCCUCAGAAUCUGUGAGGACAAUGAUUAGGACAAUGCCCAGUAAACAUUAAGUUCUAGAUUCUUGUGGUGCAUGUUCCUGAUUUCUGACCAUGUGAAUUCUGAAAUAUUUAGUGAUGUCGGGUUGGCACCACACUGACCCAACAGUCUCCCUGAUCAUGAAUCUUAGAUCUGAACUACAGCUGCCAAUCCCUGGGUUCAUAUGACUGGAAAUUGGGAGCGCACACACUGCACAAAUCUAGAGUUUAACUUUUACCAGACAUUGUUCUUAUCGUAUGAACCAGCACCUUGUUCCAACUGGCUGCUAAAUAUAGGCCUUAUUCACACAGUUGUUUGAAUCUAGGUUUCAUAAUGUGGGUUAUCAAUAUUGAAGUGAUUGUGUGAAACCAUGCCAAGGUGGGAAUCUCAGGUCAUAAGCCACCUUGGCAUAGGUUCACACAAUCACUUUAAUGUUGGUAGCCCACAUGAAACAUAGAUUCAAACAAUUGUGUAAACCAACCUAUCAUAUUGUAUAUAUUGCUGAGAUUGUUUUAAUGUAUUGUGGCACUG